AUUGAACGCUGGCGGCAUGCUUUACACAUGCAAGUCGAACGGUAGAGGGGGCAACCCCUUGAGAGUGGCGAACGGGUGAGUAAUGCAUCGGAGCGUGCCCAGUCGUGGGGGAUAACGCAGCGAAAGCUGUGCUAAUACCGCAUACGAUCUCUGGAUGAAAGCGGGGGACCGAAAGGCCUCGCGCGAUUGGAGCGGCCGAUGUCAGAUUAGGUAGUUGGUGGGGUAAAGGGUCACCAAGCCAACGAUCUGUAGCUGGUCUGAGAGGACGACCAGCAACACUGUAACUGAGACACGGCGCCGGCUCCGACGGGAGGCAGCAGGGGAGAAUUUUGGACAAUGGGCGCAAGCCUGAUCCAGCAAUGCGGCGUGCAGAAAUAAGGCCUUCGGGUUGUAAACUGCUUUUGUACGGAACGAAAAGGUGUGGGUUAAUACCCUGGGCACAUGACGGUACCGUAAGAAUAAGCACCGGCUAACUACGUGCCAGCCGCCGCCGUAA
rnacentral:rRNA from 1 species